AGAACGAACGCUGGCGGCAUGCCUAACACAUGCAAGUCGAACGCUCCUGGGGCUUCGGUCUCAGGGGAGUGGCGCACGGGUGAGUAGCGCGUGGGAACCUGCCCUGUUGUGGGGGAUAACCGAGGGAAACUUCGGCUAAUACCGCAUAAGCCGGUUGUCUUGAAAGAGAUGGCCGGGAAAGAUUUAUCGCGACAGGAGGGGCCCGCGUCGGAUUAGCUAGUUGGUGGGUAACGGCCCACCAAGGCAGUGAUCCGUAGCUGGUCUGAGAGGAUGAUCAGCCACACUGGGACUGAGACACGGCCCAGACUCCUACGGGAGGCAGCAGUGGGGAAUAUUGGACAAUGGGCGCAAGCCUGAUCCAGCAAUGCCGCGUGAGUGAUGAAGGCCUUAGGGUUGUAAAGCUCUUUCGCCCGCGACGAUGAUGACGGUAGCGGGAGAAGAGCCCGGCUAACUUCGUGCCAGCAGCCGCGGU
rnacentral:rRNA from 1 species